CCCUUAGAUGUUCUGGGCCGCACGCGCGCUACACUGAUGCAUUCAACGAGUCUCUUCCUGGUCCGAGAGGAAUGGGUAACCUUUUGAAAGUGCAUCGUGAUAGGGAUAGACUAUUGCAAUUAUUGGUCUUCAACGAGGAAUUCCUAGUAGACGUAGUUCAUCAGACUGCAUCGAUUACGUCCCUGCCCUUUGUACACACCGCCCGUCGCUCCUACCGAUUGAAUGCUCAGGUGAGCCAUUCGGACUUUCAUCAUGCUGGUUUCCAGUUUUGAUGAAGGAAAGUCUUGCGAACCUUAUCAUUUAGAGGAAGGAGAAGUCGUAACA
rnacentral:rRNA from 1 species